CGCAGAGCAACUGACCCAUGCGUGCUGCAUCUUAAACUCCAGCUCGUCAUGCUAGAGCACUUUUUCAAUGUGCUCCCCAACGAGAUGGCGACGACGCAUUCGUAUGUCAAUCCAUAUCAAUGUUCGAUGCCAUUGACUGUGCCUACCAUGGUGACCACGGGUAAUGGUGAAUCAGGGUUCGAUUCCGUACAGGGACCCUGACAAAUGGCUACCACAUGCAAGGAAGGUAGCAGGCGCGCAAAUGACCCACUCCCAACGCGGGAAGGUAGUGACG